UACGUAGGGCGCAAGCGUUGUCCGGAAUUAUUGGGCGUAAAGAGCUCGUAGGCGGCUUGUCACGUCGGGUGUGAAAGCCCCGGGGCUUAACCCCGGGUCUGCAUCCGAUACGGGCAGGCUAGAGUGUGGUAGGGGAGAUCGGAAUUCCUGGUGUAGCGGUGAAAUGCGCAGAUAUCAGGAGGAACACCGGUGGCGAAGGCGGAUCUCUGGGCCAUUACUGACGUGAGGAGCGAAAGCGUGGGGAGCGAACAGG
rnacentral:rRNA from 1 species